GACGACCGCUGGCGGCAUGCUUAACACAUGCAAGUCGAACGAAGUGGCGAACGGGUGAGUAACGCGUAAUCAACCUGCCCUUCAGAGGGGGACAACAGUUGGAAACGACUGCUAAUACCGCAUAAUGCAGGAGGGGAUUGCGUCUGAUUGGAUAGUUGGGGGGGUAACGGCCCACCAAGGCGAUGUUCAGUAGCCGGUCUGAGGGGAUGCACGGCCACAUUGGGACUGGGACGCGGCCCCGAACGCCGCGGAGGGCGGCAGUGGGGAAUGUGCCGCAAUGGGCGAAAGUCUGGCGAAGUAACGCCGCGGGAGGGAUGACGGCCUUCCGGUUGUAAAGCUCUGUUAAUCGGGAAGCGGUACCGGAAUAGAAAGCCACGGCUAACUACGUGCCAGCAGCCGCGGUAAUAC
rnacentral:rRNA from 1 species